rnacentral:rRNA from 1 species
UACAGAGGGUGCGAGCGUUGUCCGGAAUCACUGGGCGUAAAGGGCGCGUAGGCGGUCUGCUAAGCGUGUGGUGAAAGCUCGGGGCUCAACCCCGGGUCGGCCAUGCGAACUGGUGGACUGGAGCUUGUCAGAGGCAGGCGGAAUUCCGGGUGUAGCGGUGGAAUGCGUAGAGAUCCGGAAGAACACCGGUGGCGAAGGCGGCCUGCUGGGACAAUGCUGACGCUGAGGCGCGACAGCGUGGGGAGCAAACAGG